GACGAACGCUGGCGGCGUGCUUAACACAUGCAAGUCGAACGGAAAGGCCCUGCUUGCAGGGUACUCGAGUGGCGAACGGGUGAGUAACACGUGGGUGAUCUGCCCUGCACUUCGGGGUAAGCCUGGGCAACUGGGUCUAAUACCGGAUAGGAGCCAUUUUUAGCGUGAUGGUUGGAAAGUUUUUUCGGUGUAGGAUGAGCUCGCGGCCUAUCAGCUUGUUGGUGGGGUAAUGGCCUACCAAGGCGGCGACGGGUAGCCGGCCUGCGAGGGUGGACGGCCACAUUGGGACUGAGGUACGGCCCAGACUCCUACGGGAGGCAGCAGGGGGGAAUAUUGCACAAUGGGCGCAAGCCUGAUGCAGCGACGCCGCGUGGGGGAUGACGGCCUUCGGGUUGUAAACUCCUUUCGCUAGGGACGAAGCUUUUUGUGACGGUACCUAGAUAAGAAGCACCGGCUAACUACGUG
rnacentral:rRNA from 1 species